CGGGUUGUAAAGUACUUUCAGCAGUGAGGAAGGUGGAUAUGUUAAUAGCAUAUUCAUUUGACGUUAGCUGCAGAAGAAGCACCGGCUAACUCCGUGCCAGCAGCCGCGGUAAUACGGAGGGUGCGAGCGUUAAUCGGAAUUACUGGGCGUAAAAGCGCAUGCAGGUGGUUUGUUAAGUCAGAUGUGAAAGCCCGGGGCUCAACCUCGGAAUUGCAUUUGAAACUGGCAAACUAGAGUACUGUAGAGGGGGUAGAAUUUCAGGUGUAGCGGUGAAAUGCGUAGAGAUCUGAAGGAAUACCGGUGGCGAAGGCCGGCCCCCCUGGACAGAUACUGACACUCAGAUGCGAAAGACGUGGGGAGCAAACAGGAUUAGAUACCCUGGUAG
rnacentral:rRNA from 1 species